rfam:Caprimulgus carolinensis contig21733, whole genome shotgun sequence.
GCCCCCAGAAGAAAUAAAGACCAGCUGGGUUGCACCCUCAGCCUAUUCCAGUAAUACGGGCCUGUAAUCUUGGUGGACAAUGCAGAGCUGUGCGUGUUCGCUGUAAGGGCAGGCCGACAGAAAAUCCCCUUCCCUCUGUUCCCGGAGAAUACAUCCCUGGGAUGCAUCAGCUCACAGUGAGUGUUUCUGUCAGCUGAGAGGGGGCUGUGGGGAUAGGAUAGCACAGCGUUUCCAAGGUUUAGGUUGUGGGGGGAAGCCCAUCUUACAGCUGGUGAGAUGUGAGCACGCAUCUUUGGUAAUCUGAUGACU